GACGAACGCUGGCGGCGUGCUUAACACAUGCAAGUCGAACGGAAAGGCCCUGCUUGCAGGGUACUCGAGUGGCGAACGGGGGAGUAACACGUGGGUGAUCUGCCCUGCACUUCGGGAUAAGCCUGGGAAACUGGGUCUAAUACCGGAUAGGAGCCAUUUUUAGUGUGAUGGUUGGAAAGUUUUGUCGGUGUAGGAUGAGCUCGCGGCCUAUCAGCUUGUUGGUGGGGUAAUGGCCUACCAAGGCGGCGACGGGUAGCCGGCCUGAGCGGGUGGACGGACACAUUGGGACUGCGAUACGGCCCAGACUCCUACGGGAGGCAGCAGUGGGGAAUAUUGCACAAUGGGCGCAAGCCUGAUGCAGCGACGCCGCGUGGGGGAUGACGGCCUUCGGGUUGUAAACGCCUUUCGCUAGGGACGAAGCUUUUUGUGACGGUACCUAGAUAAGAAGCACCGGCUAACUACGUG
rnacentral:rRNA from 1 species